GAUGAACGCUGGCGGCGUGCCUAAUACAUGCAAGUCGAGCGAACAGACGAGGAGCUUGCUCCUCUGACGUUAGCGGCGGACGGGUGAGUAACACGUGGAUAACCUACCUAUAAGACUGGGAUAACUUCGGGAAACCGGAGCUAAUACCGGAUAAUAUAUUGAACCGCAUGGUUCAAUAGUGAAAGACGGUUUUGCUGUCACUUAUAGAUGGAUCCGCGCCGCAUUAGCUAGUUGGUAAGGUAACGGCUUACCAAGGCGACGAUGCGUAGCCGACCUGAGAGGGUGAGCGGCCACACUGGAACGGAGACACGGUCCAGACUCCUACGGGAGGCAGCAGUAGGGAAUGGUCCGCAAUGGGCGAAAGCCUGACGGAGCAACGCCGCGUGAGUGAUGAAGGUCUUCGGAUCGUAAAACUCUGUUAUUAGGGAAGAACAAAUGUGUAAGUAACUAUGCACGUCUUGACGGUACCUAAUCAGAAAGCCACGGCUAACUACGUG
rnacentral:rRNA from 1 species